rnacentral:lncRNA from 1 species
UCCCCCCAGAGGUUAAACGGGAAGUGACAACUUUCCCAAAAAUUUUACUUCUGGGUAACCGACAGUAGGCUUGAAUAACCUAAACAUGUGUUUUACGGUUGGGAUGGACUGCACAGCCAAAAUCACUAGCUGGACAGAUUCCUCUCGAAAGGGGAGCCCUGUAGAUGAACUGCCUGCCGUGUCUUUGGCUGUAUAGGCGACCAUACAGUGACUCAAGAGAAGAAUGAAUUACACGUGUGAAACCAUGAGUCUUUAUACAUUCAAAGUGGAAUAUAAUGAGAUGUUUCUCCCAAUCUAAUGAUAUUAAAAUCCAAUAAAAGGCCCUCGU